rnacentral:piRNA from 1 species
UGACAAGGCCUUCUCUGAGACUCUAGA